rnacentral:lncRNA from 1 species
UUUUUUUUAGAUUAGAUGUGGACUCUGCAAAUUAGAGAUAACAAGGCUGACCUAAAGAUACAGAGUUAGUUUCCAUAGCAAUGAGACCUAUGAAUUCUCAAAAUAUUCAAGUCUCUAUUAGGCUAGAAGCAGAUAAAAAUAAUUUGCUUACAUAAGGGCAUGUCAGAUCUCAUCCAACAAAGUGCUCAGUUUUAAGCACUUGACUAUCAAUAUAAUGGAUCUCCAUAUGUACCUGACUUUUUUGCUUGCCUGGGAAAGAAAUACUUUCGGUGAAUAGUGCCUUUAUGUCCAUAUCUGACUCCCUUUCAACCCUGACCCUCCUGCCCAGGAUCUUUGUGCUUCCUACUGUUGAGCUAUCUUUGAUGCAGACUCUGGGUUUUUCCAUGGGACAGAUUGGUUCCUCUCCACUGAGAACAGGCAGAACCAAGCACUGAUCCUUCCUCCAGCCUCCUCUCUAGCUCAGCUGGGGGGCACCUUGAACCCUCCACCUCGUGAUUUGGGUGAGAUCAGAUAUGCUUGUAAAGAGAAAAGGAGUGCACUCUGAAAAUAUGUGUACUGAAUAGGUAUGUACUCACAGGAAAACUCCUUGUCCCUUCCCCUCCUGUCUCUUCAGCAAGGUCUAGGUGGGGUUAUAAAGUCGUGAAUGAUCUUGCUCUGCAUUUCGCAACCAUAGACCCUGAAGUAUCUGAACCAGGAUGGCAUGAAGGGAAUAGGAAGUCUCUGCCCCCACACCACACAGAGCACACCACUGUGGUAGUGCACCAAGGAGGUAUGUCUGGCCACUCUGUAGCUGCCCCCAGCAAGUGCCGUACUGCUGUUAAUUAACCUAAUGUAAGCUGAAUGGGGCUCAUCUAGAAUAACAUUGCAUGGGCAGAACCACAAAUUCAAAAUACUUACAUUUUCAGUUGUUUCGCUUUAAGAAGUCAUAAGAAGCCACCAGUGAACAUGCUUGAGUCUAGUCUUUUUGUAACCAAUGGUACUAAAUCAUAUAGUACCUUGUGAAACUGACCUCUGAGAACACCGUGUUCCCUUAGAAAAAUCUGAAAUAUUUCUUUGUACUCAUGAACUGCACCAAAGUUAUUUAGCUUAGAAAGGCUUUUCACAAAUUAGCACUGAUUAUAGGACUGAAGAGAAUGGGGACUGAAAGGUUGAAAGGUAUGGUAGAGAAAGCAAAAAGCCUUGGGUGAAAAUUAAUCCCCUGAAUAUUUCAGACAGCCUCUAAAAAAAAAAAAGUGUUAAUGGCUUAAAGAAUCUCAGCAUAUUAGGAAGAACUAAUUUAAUUUUCUAAUAGUACAAGCUUUUGUGAGACAAUCCAUUAGCUGAUUGAAUGCAUUUAAUUUACUUGGUUCCAACUUGUGUGACUGUUUUCCUAUCCCCACCUUCCUCUGGUGAAAAGAAAAUAAAACAUUCCCCAACAGCAAA